GCCCAUUGGACGAUACUUGGGCUUCCGGCAUGUAUUUGGGCCAUAAAUUUGAUGUUACGGUAAAGAUAACAAUCCGGGCUCAAAGAACUAAUGAUAGGCCCAAUACCAGAGCUGAAAAGCCUGAUCUGGAGAAGUUCCCCGCCAUUCCUUUGAGGACAUAUAACAAACAUGUGACAGGCAAAACAAUCAACCGCGCAAAUAAUUUGGCAUCAAUGGCGGCACUAAGGAUAACGUCUAUACACAAUCAUACUCCCAUUCAACUACCCACCUCCUCCACCACCGCAACCAAGCCCACAGUGGCCUUCACCACCCCAUCAAAUUACGCUGACCGGCUCUCUCGCCUCCUCGAUCUCAAAGGCCACACUCCCCUCUGGUGCCCUACCGUUGUUACCGAGCCCACCCCGCAAUCCCUCUAUCUCCACCUCUCUCCACACUCCUUCCCACUAUUCUCCGCAAUCGCGUUCCCCUCUCGAACAGCAAUCACCGCUUUCUCCCUUGCUACUCUCUCGCUCACCAAACCCCUGUUGCCCCCGCAAGGCAAUAGUCUGAUCAUCGCGGCUCUUGGAAAGGACGCAGAAGGCAUUGACGAGAGGUUUCUGCUUGAUAUCUGUUCAAAUGUUGAUCGAGUUCGACUGUUGGUUCCGCCCGUAGCGACCCCAAGCGGCAUGGUCCGAUCGCUCGGGGAUGGACGCGGUAGGAGAGUUUUGUGUCCCGUACCGCUUGUGGUGGGACUGCAGGAGCCUCCAGUUGUUCCGAAUUUUCUUCAGGAGCUUGAGGAGGCCGGGUGGGUUCCUGUGAGGGUUAAUGCGUACGAGACACGAUGGUCUGGGCCCAGCUGCGCUGAGAGCAUGGUGAGGAGGAGUGACGAUGACCGGGGAGAGGGAUUGGAUGCGGUGGUGUUUACGAGUAGUGGUGAAGUUGAGGGGUUGUUGAAGAGUUUGAGGGAAUUUGGAUGGGAUUGGAGAAUGGUGAGGAGGAGGUGGCCAAGUUUGGUGGUGGCGACACACGGACCAGUAACUGCGGCAGGGGCAGAGAGGUUGGGGGUUGAUGUUGAUGUUGUGAGUUCAAGGUUUGACAGCUUUGAUGGCAUUGUUGAAGCACUUGAUUCCAGGUUGCGAGUCUCCUGAUCCAAAUCCAGGAAUUAGGUUUUCUGACUGCAAUCCAGAGAAGCUCAUAUACACAUGCUAAGUGAAUAAUAUGUAAAAUUAAGUGUACCUGUUUCUCUUCCGGAGUUUGUUGUUGGAGAUGGACCUUUGGCCAAUUGGAUCAGGAUAACAGUCAUCAUGAAGGAAGCUAAGUCCCCGUGCAAUGCCAUUCACUAUUUUGUACUUAAUUGGCCAGUCCAUUCUCAUUCUAGUCUUCUCUGCCAAAUUCCCAUUAGGCAAAGGCAAGUAAUCAUACAGGAGGUAAC